rnacentral:rRNA from 3 species
AAAUUGAAGAGUUUGAUCAUGGCUCAGAUUGAACGCUGGCGGCAGGCCUAACACAUGCAAGUCGAACGGUAGCACAGAGAGCUUGCUCUCGGGUGACGAGUGGCGGACGGGUGAGUAAUGUCUGGGAAACUGCCUGAUGGAGGGGGAUAACUACUGGAAACGGUGGCUAAUACCGCAUAACGUCGCAAGACCAAAGAGGGGGACCUUCGGGCCUCUUGCCAUCAGAUGUGCCCAGAUGGGAUUAGCUAGUUGGUGAGGUAACGGCUCACCAAGGCGACGAUCCCUAGCUGGUCUGAGAGGAUGACCAGCCACACUGGAACUGAGACACGGUCCAGACUCCUACGGGAGGCAGCAGUGGGGAAUAUUGCACAAUGGGCGCAAGCCUGAUGCAGCCAUGCCGCGUGUAUGAAGAAGGCCUUCGGGUUGUAAAGUACUUUCAGCGGGGAGGAAGGUGUUGUGGUUAAUAACCGCAGCAAUUGACGUUACCCGCAGAAGAAGCACCGGCUAACUCCGUGCCAGCAGCCGCGGUAAUACGGAGGGUGCAAGCGUUAAUCGGAAUUACUGGGCGUAAAGCGCACGCAGGCGGUCUGUCAAGUCGGAUGUGAAAUCCCCGGGCUCAACCUGGGAACUGCAUUCGAAACUGGCAGGCUUGAGUCUUGUAGAGGGG